UCCGUUUCUCACCAUUUAAUUUGAUGUUA
rnacentral:piRNA from 1 species